CAGUAAAAAGUUUUUUAAAAUAUUAAUUUUGGAGAUUAAAGAUAAGUAAUAACUUUUUACUGA
rnacentral:tRNA from 1 species